rnacentral:rRNA from 1 species
GAUGAGCGCUGGCGGCGUGCCUAAUACAUGCCAUUCGAGCGAACAGACGACGAGCUUGCUCUUCUGACGUUAUCGGCGGACGGGUGAGUAACACGUGGAUUACCUACCUAUAAGACUGGGAUAACGUAGGGAAACCGGCUCUAAUACCGAGUAAUAUAUUGAACCUCAUGGUUCAAUAGUGAAAGACGGUUUUGUUGUCACUUAUCGAUAUAUCUUCGCCGCAUUAGCUAUUUGGUAAGGUAACGACUUAACAAGUCAACGAUGCGUAGCCGACCUGAGAGGGUGACAGGCCACACUGGAACUGAGACACGGUCCAGACUCCUAAGGGAGGCAGCAGUAGGGAAUCUUCCGCAAUGGACGAAAGCCUGACGGAGCAACGCCGCGUGAGUGAUGAAGGUCUUCGGAUCGUAAAACUCUGUUAUGAGGGAAGAACAAAUGUGUAAGUAACUAUGCACGUCUUGACGGGACCUAAUCAGAAAGCCACGGCUAACUACGUG